rnacentral:tRNA from 1 species
AACGGACUGAAAAUCCGUGUGUCGGCGGUUCGAUUCCGUCCCGAGCCACCA